GAUGAACGCUAGCGGCAGGCCUAAUACAUGCAAGUCGGACGGGAUUCAGGAGCUUGCUUCUGAUGAGAGUGGCGCACGGGUGCGUAACACGUAUGUAACCUACCUUUAUCAGGGGGAUAGCCUCUCGAAAGAGAGAUUAAGCCCGCAUAAAAUCACAGCACAGCAUUGUGUAAUGAUCAAAUAUUUAUAGGAUACAGAUGGGCAUGCGGAACAUUAGCUAGAUGGCGGGGUAACAGCCCACCAUGGCGACGAUGUUUAGGGGAUCUGAGAGGAUGGCCCCCCACACUGGUACUGAGACACGGACCAGACUCCUACGGGAGGCAGCAGUAAGGAAUAUAGGUCAAUGGACGGAAGCCUGAACCAGCCAUGCCGCGUGCAGGAAGACGGCCCUACGGGUUGUAAACUGCUUUUAUACGGGAAUAAACCCAGAUACGUGUAUCUGGCUGAAGGUACUGUAAGAAUAAGGAUCGGCUAACUCCGUG
rnacentral:rRNA from 1 species